rnacentral:lncRNA from 1 species
CAUUCAAAUCCUCAAUAACCUUAGACCCUUAUGAUAUUCUUAGUAAUUGGUCAAUUUCCUCUUCUACUUCUUCUUUGUCUUCAUGCAAUUGGGUUGGUGUUACUUGUGAUGAACACCAUGGAAGAGUAAAUGCAUUGAAUCUUAGUAGCAUGGGCCUUGAAGGUACAAUUUCUCCUCAAUUGGGAAAUCUUUCUUUCCUUAUUGUUCUUGAUUUACAGGGCAAUAGUUUCCAUGGUGAGUUACCACAUGAGUUGCUUCAGUUGAAAAGAUUGAAAUUGUUGAAUUUAAGCAACAAUGAUUUUGUUGGAGAAAUUCCUUCAAGGAUAGGGGAGUUAUCAAAACUUCAACAAUUGGAUAUUAGCUAUAAUAAUAUUGUUGGAGUUAUUCCUCAAUCUAUAUUCAACUUGUCAAUGUUAGAAUAUCUACGUUUGACAUCAAAGGAACCAUUCCACAUGCAAUUGGUCAACUUCGUCAGUUGAGGUAUUUGAGUAUUGGUAAUAACAGGUUGCUGUCUGGAAUGAUACCAACAACAAUUUGCAACAUGUCUUCACUUGAAGUAAUUUAUUUAGCAAAUAACUCCUUAUCAGGUAUGAUAUACUCACACCAUUACAUGAUAACAUGCAUGAUUGAGUUUUUUUAACUUUAUUUAUUACACGUGUGUGGAUACUUUGCAUUGUGCAGCAAACCACAAAGUCGUUGAUCUAAGUGAGACAAAUUCCAAUUUUAUUUUUCUCAUUUCGAUCUAACGGCUGUGUAAGUGCGUGCAGUGUAGGUGUCAUAGGGAAAUUUAAUUCAAUUUUACACACUUAUUAAGCCUUCUUUAGACCCUUGAAUAUAAAUUAAAUACAUUAGUUUUAUUUAUUUUGAAGAAAUUCUUUAAUUAAUUAAUCUUGUAAUCCCUCCGUUUUUUAAUAUAAGCAAAAUUGACUUUUUAGGUUCAUUCAUUUAAUGAUGUAUAUGGUUCAUAAUAUGGACCACAUACAUCAUUAAAUGAAUGAAUCUAAAAAGUAAAUUUUGCUUAUAUUUUUUUUUUGCACAAGCUAAAAUGAAAUAUAUUAAAAAUGCGCAUGAAACAAUUUUGCUUAUAUUUAAAUACGAAAGUAUAAAUGAAUGUGCAUUACAUGCCAGCUAAUAUAUGAAUCAUUUUAAUUAAUGUCUUUCCCCUCUCUCUAUACAUGUAUUGAACUAAAGGAGAAAUUCCCAAAGAAAUUGGUGAUCUUUCACAAUUGAAAAUGGUCAACCUUCAAGAUAAUUUCCUCGUAGGCAACAUAUUAAUGUUCAACAACACAUCAUUGCAAUACUUAUAUCUUGGAUAUAAUAAUAUGACCGGCAUUCUUCCAUCAAAUGUUUGUCAAGAGCUUCCAAACCUUAGAUCACUCUAUCUUCUUCAUAAUGAUUUUUAUGGUGCAAUGCCAAAUGUUUGGCAUGAUUGCAAAGAGUUGGAAGAUUUAGAAUUGUCCUUAAAUAAUUUUGACAAAGGACGUAUUCCGGCUGACAUUGGAAAAUUGGCCAAACUUCAAUUUCUGUAUCUUGCAGAUAACAACUUGGAGGGUAAGAUAUUUUUGCCAAUAUAUUAAGUGUUUAUUUAUUUUUAUUUAAUUCUUUUAAAUAUUAAGUUUUUAUUUAUUGUUUCUUUAAAGUUACUACAUUGCCUAAAAAUGUUACCACCUCUUUCAAUAAUUAUAAGUUAUUUUUGAAAAAUAAAUGCCCACAAAAAUAAGUUUAGCUUACGUAGCUUUUGACUUCCCCACUCCGUCUUUGACUUCCUAUAAAAAAACAAAAAAAACUGCAACCUGGGUGCAAAAGGGAUAGCACUUGGGUGAUAUUGUGGUUGGUGACAUUAGACAACCACAAUGAUGUUUUUUUUUGUACAUUUGUGACAUUGUGGUUGGCCAAUGUCACCAAUAUCACCAACUACAUGUCACUAAAGUGCUACUCGUACAAAAGUGCAUUCAUGUUUGUACAAAUGUACGUAUGAGAGAGAUAUGUCCAAAAAUAAGAGAGAGAUUUAAAAUAUAAUAUGUAUAUAAAAGAGAGUUGUCCAAAAAUUAUCACAAAAUGAUUGUACAAAUAUCAUUUCUCAUUUUUUCCCUCACUUAUUUAUUCUCACAUUAUAUGCAUUCAUGCUAAGUUCGAUUUGCUUAUAAAGCUUGAGUAUAUAAAUGAGUCCCAAAUGUUUUAAUGUCACAACUUUUAGUUUCCACUUUUAAUUAAGUAAACUAAUGUGCAUCAUUCAAAAUUUUAAAUUACUUUUCACAUUCAUGUUUUGUACCUCUAAUAGGGUUCUAGAUUAACCACUAUAUGUUACUCCCUCCGUCCCGCAAUAAAUUACCUGUUUGAAAAUGUACAAUUUUGACAUAACUUAUUUUGAUCAUAUUUUUCUACUAAUAUAUAAAGAUAAAUAAUAUCAUAUAAGAUGUCGUUAGAUUCGUCUCGAUGAGUAUUUUCAAAAUAUCAAAUUUUCAUAAUUUUUUCCAAUAUAUUAUUCAAGAUAUUUAAACUCAAAAUUACGCAUUGGUAUGCGUAAUUGAAUCAACUGUGUCACUUAUUAAGGGACGGAGGGAGUAUAAUAUAAAAUCCAACGAAAUUAAUAAGAUCUAUUUAUUGAAAAUUGUGGUGUUGAAUGAUGAAAUAUUGUUUCUACCUAAAAGGAGUAGAAACAAUCUGAAAUAGAGGUGCCGCCUCUAAGACUAGCACCGACUUCAUCUUCUUUUGCUGUAGUCUUCUCUUCAUGUUGAUCUUGUCUUUAGGAAUAUAAGUUUCCUGGUAUUAUUCAAUGAAUGAUUAAUAACAUAACAAGUUGAGCAAAAAAGUGGGAGUUUUUCAUAUUCAACAUCCGCAUUAAACACAGCCAUCUUUUUCUUGGUAAAACUGGACUAAACCACACCAAGCCUUGUGUGUCAAAAAUAGUAGUAGUAGGUAGAUUGCAUAUUCAACGAUUCCUCGCUAUUACUUUUCUUUUCUUUGGUUAAAAAAAACAUAAGCUUAAAUGCAAUUUUGAUCCUCUAUUUUUAAAUUUAUUAAGUUUUGAUACCCUUUUUUCUUUUGAUCCCCUAGUUAAAAAGUCAAAGCAAUUUUCUGAACCCCUCCCAUUUAAGUGAUGUGGUGCUGAGGUGGUAGUAGUGAGUUGAACAUAUAUCUGAUAUGUUUAAUUCAUGUUACCAGAAUAAUUGUACCUCUCAUGAUACGAUGCUUUUAUGAACUCUGUUUAAUUCUGGUGUACUUAAAAGCCUUCUGAGCUUGAAGAAUAUCUUAUUUUUCAAGAAAACUGUGUUUUAUACAAAAAUCCAGUUCAGGGUAGCUCGCUCAACGAGUUUCUGCCCGCUUAGCGAGGCUGACAAUUCAAAACAGGACUACAUAGCUCGAUUAACGAGUCAUCCCCUCGCUUAGCGAGGAUGACAGACAACACAAAAGCUGUCAGGCUCGCUUAGCCACCAAGAUAGAACAUCAAAAAUUGUGAAAAAUCGGUUUUCAACCAUGUCAUCACUCACUACCCACGCUUCUAAAUCAUAUUCUUGUAAGUUGUUUUAUAAUCCAAAGGUGGGGUGUCUAUCUAAAGGAACCCACCAUGACAUUCUAGAUUCUCUAAACAGCUUCUGCUACAGCUUAAGCUCCUGCCUCUCUGAAACUUAUUGAUUCUGCCUUCAGCUUUUAUCUCAAGCAACAACUUACCUAUAACCUUAUCACUUUUUCUAUUACUAUCAUUCCUCAUAAUCACUUUUCUGACAGUUUUUCCAAAACAACUUAUUUACAGCUUAUUGGUUUUGCCUCUAGCUUUUGCACUCCAACAACUUAUUCAAUCCCUCAAAAACAACUUAAGCUUCAAUUUUUAGCUUAUGCCUCAACUUCCAUGCCGUUUUCCAGCAUCAAUAAUAUCCAACUUCAAAAGUGUUUUUAGAAUUCAUUUCUAAUCCAAUACAACCCGUAACGUAAGAGCAAGGAGAAAACCAAAAUCUCAUGCGGCAACUUUUGCAAACAGAACCAAUUCCAAACAGCUUCAGCUCAAGUAAUUAAACACCAAAGCUUUAACGCACAUGCAGCAACCAUGAGGGCUCAUACUUAUAAUUUUCCCUAUAGACAGAAGUUGAAAGAGUGCUCAGCUGAGAGGAAGUAAAAGUAAGAUUGAACCAUUUUGUCUGAUACACUUUGAGCUAAGCUUCUUGUUUGCACUCAUACUUUGAAUACUUUUAUCUAUUUCUAAAACUUUCCUUCAUUGCCCGCCCGCCCGCGUAACUUUUUCUUAUCCUUCUCUCACCACACCCUCUUCCAAUAAAUUCUUACCUCCGGAAUUUUGGGUUUAAUUUCUCCUUUUCGAAUUUCUUCAAAAUAUUAAAUAAAUAAAAAAACUCAUUUAAAAUCAGAGCUUGUUCAAAAUCACAAAUCUAAAUUUCAACACUUCAUUCUAUCGUUAUGCUUGCCAUCUGAAUGUUUUUUAUUUUACUUGAGCUGGGUUUGAUGGUUUCUUCUUUGCAUCUUCAAGCAUUUUUUAGGAUAAACCAUCCAUUAUUUUUUAAAAGUUUGGUACAAAACGUUAUUGUCAUUGAAAAAGUUAGCUCAUCACACCACGUUAUAUUGAGUUUAAUAAAAAAAAUUAAAAAGUUUUAAAAUUUAUUCUGUAAUUAAUAUUACAUAUAUAUUAUCACUCUUAAUAAAAUAUUUUAGACCAUAAAUAAUGAAUACGCCGCCAUCCACUACUUAAUAAUUUAAAUAUUGCAAAAGUAUUAUUUAUUCAAAUAUAAUAUAUAUUCGACGAAUAGUUUGACCAACUCUUCAGCCAAAAGUUAUUAUGCAUAAGUCAUUUCCUUAUGCACCCUGCAUAAACACUUCACAACCAUCAAAUUUAUUGUACACGUGUAAUAAUCCUAGGUCUCUCAGCUCACACUCUCACAACCAUCAGAUUUGCUCCGACGUGACUCACCCUACACUUUCACAACCAUCAUAUUUGCUCCGACGUGACUCACCCUCGCUCGCCGCUCCAACGUGAUUUCACCGGCGAGGUUGCACGUAUUUCACUUGCUCGCAUGUGAAAGCAUGCAGGUGUUGUCGGUACCUCUAACAACGACAAUGCAAGUGUAUCCAGAUGAGAAAGCUUCCGCUUGAGGGAGAGCAUAUGCCGAUGAAUUGAUGACUCACAUUUGAAGGAGAGAUUUGUGGUAGAUGUGACUUAUAAGUUGCACAUUGAUAAAAAAAAAAAAAAGUAGAUGUUGCACACUUUAUAAGUGAGAGAACCUAUAUAUCUAAGACUCUAAAAUUUUGGGUUAUAGUAUGGUGUCCGAAUCAUUUGUGUGGUUGCUUUUGGCGCAAUAUAGAUAAUCUCCUAAACUUCCCUCUUCAUUAACAUUUUAAUACUUUUAUAUUUUAUAUAAAUAUAUAUUAUAAUAAUUAUUAAUGGUAUAAAAAUUUUGCACACAUAACCCAAAGUCCUGGAUCCAGCAAUGCACUGUUAUAAUAUCUAAUCCAACGAAACUAACAUGUUCUAUUUUAGUUUUUAUUAAGAUUAUGACUUGUUACGAUUGUGUUGUACUGGUAUUGAGUGAUAAAAUAUUGUUUCUAGUGUAUUAUGCGAUGUGUACAUAAAAUUUUAAGAAAAAUGGACUAUUGUUGAAAAUUGGUUCAUACGGUGUAAACAUUUUUAAAGAUAAAAGAUUAAUUUGAAACCAAAAAAGAAAAAGAAAAAAACUCUCAAACUUGAAACUUAUAGUCGAUUAUCAUCGAAGUAUUUCGUGAAUCACACUUUAAAUUUUUAUGUUAAAUACAGGUGAAAUUCCAUUAUCCCUCUUCAACAUCUCUUCUUUGAGAGAGAUCAGCCUUACUAAGAACAAUUUAAAUGGAAGUCUCCCAGACGAGAUGUGUCUUCAACUUCCUCAACUUUAAUUAUUUUCUCUAAAAAGUAAUCAUUUUGAAGGAUUCAUUCCACCAUCGAUUGGAAACUGUACAUCAUUACAAACGUUACAUUUACAGAAUAACUUUUUUACAGGUAUACCGUACACCCUUAACUUUCUAUCUACAUGUUAUACUUUUAGUUAAGUUUUUAAAAUUUCUGUAUUAUUAGUAUUUGUUUUUACACCAAGCUUCAUCAUCUUACACAUGCGACUUUGUUGUUUCUUUAUGAUAUUUGAUUUUAGGUUCGAUACCAAUGGAGAUUGGCCAUCUCAGUCAACUUCAACUUCUACUAAUGGGAAAUAACAGCUUGAGUGGACCUAUUCCUUCAAAAGUCUUCAACAUUUCAACAUUGGAAAUUUUGUAUCUUGAUCAAAAUUCUCUCUCAGGCAUGCUUCCAUCAAAUUUGGGAUUUGGACUUCCUAACCUACAACAACUAGACAUUUUAGCAAACAGAUUUGUUGGAAGAAUUCCAAAUAGUAUAUCCAAUGCUUCAAAUCACGUUCGAGCUGAAUUUGGUGCUAAUGAAUUUAGUGGAAUUAUGCCUAAUUCUUUUGGAGAUUUAAGAGUCCUAGAAUUUCUCGGCAUAGGUGGCAAUAAUUUGACAUUAAUUGAUGAAUCUCUUGAAAUAAACUUCCUUACUUCACUUGCAAGUUGCAAAUAUCUAAAAUAUCUUGUAUUAUCAGGGAAUAGCUUACUAUCAAAACUUCCCAAGUCCAUUACAAACUUAUCUGUAGAACACUUUUUGGCAGAUUCUUGUGGAAUUAAUGGAAAUAUUCCUGUAGAAAUCGGAAACAUAAGCAACUUGAUUCAAUUAUCUCUGAGAAGCAAUAGUUUAAAUGGAGCAAUCCCUAGUACAAUUAAAGGGUUACAUAAACUUCAAUCUUUGAAUCUUGGCUACAAUGGGCUGCAAGGAUCCAUGAUUGAUGAGCUUUGUGAAAUUAGGAGUUUGAGUGAGUUGGGUUUGACAAGCAAUAAGCUUUUUGGAGUGUUACCAACAUGUUUGGGAAAUAUGACUUCUCUUAGAAAGUUUCACAUAGGAUCUAAUAGGUUAACCUCUGAGAUACCUUCUUCCUUUUGGAAUCUCGAAGAUAUUUUAGAGGUAGACCUAUCUUCUAAUGCUUUAAUUGCAAAUCUUCCACCUGAGAUUAAGAAUUUGAGAGUUCUUGUACUAUUAGACUUGUCAAGAAAUCAAAUUUCAAGAAACAUUCCAACAGCCAUAAGUUUAUUGAACACUUUAGAAACUCUCUCCUUGGCAGCUAACAAAUUGAGUGGGCCUAUCCCAACAUCACUUGGUGAAAUGUUAAGCUUGAGUUUCUUGGACUUGUCUCAAAAUCUUCUUACUGGUGCGAUCCCAAAAUCCUUAGAGUCACUUUCUUAUCUUAAAUACAUUAACUUUUCAUACAAUAGAUUGCAAGGAGAGAUUCCUAAUGGAGGACCUUUCAAAAAAUUCACAUCUCAAUCUUUCAUGCAUAAUGAAGCACUUUGUGGCAGUUCUCACUUACAAGUACCUCCAUGUGAUAAACAUAGGAAAAAGUCAAAGAUGUUAUUAAUCAUAUUGAUAUCAUCCAUAAUUGUUGUGCUAUGUAUUUUGGUUGUUGCAUGCAUAAUACUUCGAAUGCAUAAAAGGAGAAAGGGUAAAAAUUCACUUGAAAGGGGUUUACACACUAUAGGAGUUCCAAAAAGGAUUUCCUAUUAUGAACUAGUGCAAGCAACUAAUGGAUUCAGUGAGAGUAAUUUACUUGGAAGGGGUGGCUUUGGAUCCGUGUAUCAAGGAAUGCUUUCUAGUGGGAAGAUGAUAGCAAUUAAAGUACUUGACUUGACAAUGGCAGAAGCAUCAAGAAGCUUUGAUGCAGAAUGCAAUGCAAUGCGCAACCUUCGACAUAGAAAUCUAGUUCAAAUUAUGAGUAGUUGUUCAAAUCCUGAUUUCAAAUCUCUAGUGAUGGAGUUUAUGUCAAAUGGAAGUGUGGAAAGAUGGUUAUACUCUGAUAACUAUUUUUUGGAUUUCUUGCAAAGGUUGAACAUAAUGAUAGAUGUGGCAUCAGCAUUGGAGUAUCUCCAUCAUGGUUCUUUAAUACCAGUGGUUCAUUGUGACUUGAAGCCUGCUAAUGUGUUAUUGGAUGAAAAUAUGAUUGCACAUGUUAGUGAUUUUGGGAUUUCCAAGCUCUUGGAUGAAGGACAAUCAAAAACUCAUACAGGUUAUAACUUCUUCACUUCUAAGUCAUAUUAUAUCUUAUCAAUUUGAGUUUGUCAGGUCAACUCAGUUGAGAAAAUAAUAACUAAUACAUAUUUUUAUUUAUAAAAAAUUAAAGAUUUUGAUUAAGAAGGGACCAAAUGGAUUGAUAUGGUAUACUGUGUUGUUAUUAUGAAUGAAACAGUAUUUUUUUUUUUUUAAAACAAAAACUAAAACAAUUAUUUUGUAAGAAUAAAAACAAUAACAAAUUUUGAUCAUGAAAACAAGAGAUAGCAAAACUGGUUGAACUUAUUAGGUUGGCAAGUUUUAACCUCACAUUUUAGACGUUUUUUAGGCCAAUUGGUCUAACCAUGAAGACAUCUAUAUUUUGUUUUGUUUUGUUAUUGAUUGGCUAUCAUAACACAAGUAUCAUUGAGAAUAUUUUUAUAACUAGUGAUUAAUGUUCAUAUACAGAGUAUGGAUCUAGCGGAAUCAUUUCAGUUAAAGGAGAUGUGUACAGCUAUGGGAUAAUGCUAAUGGAAAUGUUCACCGGAAAGAUGCCAACAAAUGAAAUGUUUUCAGAAGAAUUAACCUUGAAAACUUGGAUUACUGAAUCAAUGGCGAAUUCCAGUAUGGAAGUUGUGGAUUACAAUUUAGGCUCACAACAUGAGAAAGAAAUUCAUGAUAUCUUAGCUUUAGCAUUGAGAUGUUGUGAAGAUUCACCUGAGGCUCGGAUUAAUAUGACAGAUGUAACUACCUUAUUAAUCAACAUCAAGACUUCACUCAUCCGAUGAAAAAGGAGAUCAAGAAAUAAAAUUUAGUAGUAAGUUAUUAUAUGCUUUUGAAACAUCCCCCUGUUCCUUUAUUCCAAAUGUUGUUUGAAUCUUUUUUUUUUUUCUUUUUUUUUUAAAAGAUCGAUGUUUUGUUUGAAUCUAGAUGGAAUAUAAAACAUUGUUUAAUCGGAAAUUAUAUGUAAUUGGUGCGACCUGACGCUCCUGUUAUGGUAGCAUCUAUUGAAGUUGUACUUCUGUGUAGUUCUAUGCCAUUUUAGAUGCAAAAAUUUCUCCAUUUCCAUUCUAAAAUACUUGCAAUUGCAUCUUAAUAAUAAUACAAAGCAUUACAUACAACUUCAGGAAUCUCAAUUGAAGCAGUCACUAAGAAGAACUGCGAUUAGUUACUUCUUAAACGCAUCUGCGUGGAAACCACAUGUAUCUCCUAACUGUGAAUUUGUUGUGUAUAAGUUGUUGGGGGAGUUCAGCACGCAUCUAAAGCAACAGUCAGCUAAAUGAUCAAAGCUCCAGAAGCCUUAACUUUAUUAACUUACUCACUUUAAAAAAGCCAAAUUUCUAAGUCAUAAAAUAUUUACUUGGACUGUAAAAAAUACAUUUACUUGGAAUUCACUUAUUAGCCAAUUUCAUAUAUUGAUAUUUGACGCUUUAUUUUGAAAUGAUAUUCAAUUCCAUAUCGAUUUCAUUACUUGUUCGGAUCCAAUGUUGAAACUUCUGGAUACAAAAGUUGUACACACAAAUAGUAGAAUCACAAUUUUAGCCAUUUGCAGCCCAACAUGAAAUAAAUGUCAUUAUAUCCACCAGAUAUUUUCCCCCCAAAAUGAAUAUGAAUGUCAUGUCAAAAAACAUAAAUGGAUUAACAACCAACAGAAAAAGGAAAGCUGCAAAUGAAAAUGGAAGUAAGCUGAGUUUUGGGGAAAUUUUGAAGGAAAAAGAAAUAUUCCUAAGUUUAUAACUUGACUUAAAUUUUUGACAUUGAUUAACAACUCUCAUAAAAGGAACAACUAAAAAGGGACGGAUGUAGACUAGACACUGCAGUUGUAACAAAGUGAGUAUUUUUUUGUUUCUAAAAAGACUAUCAUCAAAACUCACACACAUUAAGUGUUGAAAAUCACAAGUUCAAACUCGUGUUUGAGCAUAUCAAAUGUCCCUACAACCGACAAAGUAAGGCUUCUUUAUUUGUACGAAAAAUGUUAAUGCUAAUAUAUAUUAGUAUACCCCUAACAAGAUUUCAGAAUAGAAUAAAAUUUGAUAAUUAAGACAAAAACUCUAGUGAAAGUUGCCGGUGAAAGACCAAGCAUGAGCUACUCUCGAAACAAGAAAGCAAGUAAAUAUAAACAAGGUUAACAAUAAUGCAAUAAAAUAAUAAAUGAUUCAAUGACUUGUUUCUUCAUUUUUUUUUUCUUUGCUCCUUUUAGUGGACACAUUUGACUAAAUAAAUUCCUAUCAAAAUGUAACAAUACACAUUUUUUUUUUCAUUACCGCAAGCACUGUUUAAAAUUCUGAUUAUGACAGUUACCAUAAAGUCACAAACAUCUAGCAACACACUAACAAAUUCAAGUUUUCCUUUUUUUUUAACAUUGUUCAAUUAUAUAUAGAUAGAAAUUUAAUUUAACGCUUCACUUGAAAUUUCAAAUCUGUGGAUAAGGAUCCAGCAGUUCAUGUUCCACCAAAAAUGAUGCCGAUCCAACACCAGCAAGUAUUCCAAAUGCCGAUGCUUGUUUCCAACUGGAUCCGUAUCUGUCUAAUAAUAAGUAAAUCAAAAUGGUAACAUAUUCAAAAAAAAAAAAUUGAAUCAAUCAAGUGCUUAAUUGAAUUGGUUUAUGGAAUUGUGAAGUACCACAUAUGCAAGAUCUAGACAAUGGCAGCAAGAGUUUUCACCACAUAGUAUGCCUAGAAGAAUUGUGCAGACCUGCUUGCUAUAUGCCAAUAUGGCUGCAUAAUAUAUACGACAUUAUUUUAAUUUAAUUAGUAUGUAGACAUUGCCAUCUAGUUUAAUGAAAACAUUACCAUCUAUGAAACAUGAACAUUUAGAAUAUAAAGGCCCGGUCCGUGUUGCACAUGUGUCUCGAUCAAUUAUGUUUUUAGAUAAGCAAAGUUAAUGAAGGGUACAUUUGAGGUAGUUCCAAAUUAAAUCAAGUCAAAUGAGGCAAACGUGAGGGAAGUGACUGAUGACAGUCAGUCAUUCACUUUUUAGAGUUUUUUUAUGAUAUUUUUGAGUUCACAAGCAAGAUUAAGCAGCAAGAAAAACUGAAGAAGCUGAAAAAGGGGAUCGUGUCACGAUUACUGAAAAACGUGACACGGUUUGGAGCUUCAAGAAAUAUGCAUUCGGCAUUGGUGAAAACGUAGCACGAUUAUGGAAACCCUAAUUUUGGUUGUUUGUUACACAAGGAAGAAACGUGUCACAAUUUACUUAAAUCGUGCCACGAUUUUAGGAGCAGUUCUUGCCUAUUUAAGCUGAAGACUAUUCUGAAAACAAGGGUUACGAUUUGGAGAGAGCAAAGUGCGAUUCGAGAUCUAAAGACGGUUAGGAGGGCGAUUUCUUCAACCUUCUAUCAAUUCAUGUAUGUUUUGAUUCCAGUAUUGAUUAUGCUAUUUGUAAACUCAAAUAUGAGUAGCUAAAUCUCUUAGAGAUUAGGUCUGAGAUGAUUCUUUGUAACCCUUAUUGAACCAUGUUGUUGUGAAACUCUAUUUAUUGUGAAUGACAAUCUAGUUUUUAUUCAAUUCAAUUGUUCUUAAUGCUUUUUAUAUCCUGAUCAAAUAUAAACAUAAUUUAGUGAGAAUGAAUGACUACUGACCAUAGCUUUCUACUUAGACAGAAUUGAAUUGUUCUAAUAAUCAUGGUUAGUAUAGGAAUGGAUAAUCCUUUAUUAGUGAUAUUAGGUUAACGUUCUUAAAACCUUCAAAGAUUAUUAGACCACCUAAGGAAUUAGGGGCUGUAGUUUGAGAAGAGGGUCCUAACUCAAGGGAUUGAUUAGGACUAUUUUGUUAACUAUCGUGGAACUAGAAAAUCAUUCAUAUGAAUAGGUGCAGUAUACCAAUUAGGGGAACAUAGAUAAUUUGAAAGACCUGAUCUCAUCUCUCUUCAUAUUUUCUAACCAAAUCUUUAUUUUAUGUUAUUUAAUUUUAUGCAAUCAAAUAAAAUCUAAACAAAAUAAUUUAUACAUCCUGAAUAUUUACUUUAUUUCUAAAUUGAGAUUAACACAGUCCUUGUGAGAACGAUAUUUUUAUUACUUCGAUACGUUUUUACUAAAAUAUCUAUCAGUGACAAUGUGAUAUGCUUACAGCAGCAGUAGAUGAACUUUGAGAUGUAACCUGUUUGUAUUGAAAUGUUUAGCAGUUAGCAUAACAUGGACUCUGAAAAGUUGCUAAUAGUUUUAUAUAAUAUCAAUUUGGAUUGAAACACUGUCUCCUUACCAUAGAAUUUGUUUUACUAAGAAAAAUAGCAAAUUUUAUUACCUUAACGAACAACCAAUAAAGGGAAUCACACUCUUCUUUGAAGGAUGUUAUUUAACAAGAAACUUCCAAUCUGUCAAACCAGCAUAGGCAUAUCUUGGUUUGUGAUACCAGUAAAGUUGAAAAGAACUUGGUUGCAGCUGCGAAGUUGUCUAAAGAGGAAAAACUAACAGAGAAGGCAUCUUUGGAGGGACAUAUUCUUUGUGUGUCCUAAAGCUACAAGAUGUUGGGAAUUCGUGAAGUUGGAAUUGUCAAUGACCUGCAAAUGAUCUUAACUCUUUGCUUUUCAAUAUUUUUGACAGAUUAUCCUCACAUCAGGAAGUGUCGCCAUUGUGAGCUAUGGGAGAAGGCCCUUAAAUACUAGGUGGGACCUUAACUCUUCACUCUUGCAUUACGCUUCAGUAAUGCGCCUAAGUGCUGCAGCAUUUCUGCAGGCUUAAACAAUAAAUUACUUCUUGCAUAAAUUCAACAUAACAUAACUUAAAUCAUUCUAAUCUAUUAAAAAGGACUUCUAAACCUAGUUAAGUAAAUUAAUCUAAAACUACUCAAGUAAAAGACUUUAUCAACUUGCAUAAAUAGGAUAAAAUAAGGUGAAGUAACUCAAAUUUAUAAGAGUUUAAAAUAGUCGAUAGCAAAUCAGCACAACCGACAACCAAGAAUCAACAACAAAACAGUGCUAGUAAAAUUGACAAGCCAACACUAGCAGAUGUUUAUCGACCUCUAGCGACAGCGCUAAAAAUUACUAACUUAGGAAUAGUAAUUUCCAUGAAUGUGGCUUUGCACGUCAGUUAGUUAGUUACCUAGUUCUCUUUCUCUGUCUCAGGAUCUAAGUAUGCUUCCAAUAUUUUAACUUUCUUUAAGUUCCCUGCAACUUACAUUUUGUGAUAAAACUUUUAUAUUUCUUUGCAAUUUAUUUUCAAGCAAUUUAAUUCCAAGUCCUUUAAACUUUCAAGCAUUACUAUUUCAAGUCAUUUAUUUUUCAGCAAACUAUAGAUUUUGUUCAAUUUAUGUUAUGUCUUUUUAAAGUUUUCUCUAAAUUCAAGUCAAUGUACGUACGUAUCUUAUCAUUUUAUCUUCAUAGUUUAUAUGAUUGUCUUUAAUUUCUUCACAAUUUUAUUUUCGUCUCCGUUUGUUCUUUAAAAAUAUGUAAACUCUCACAAACUAUUAUUCGAGUCAAGAACUUUAUAAAAAUCCACACAGUCACACACACACGUAAGGUCUCAUAAGUUCCCAAUUAACUUGACUAAGAUCCAAUGAUCACACUCAUUAAACUUUCAUUUAUGGUCGAUUUGACAUGCUUGACCGUUAACCAAAACUAUCCUAAAGAAUGAUAUUAAUCUAUAUAUUUUUGAUAUAUAUAGUAAACAAAAUAAAUAAAUACAGGGUUAAACAUGUAUAAGAGUUAAUCAAGUAUAUAAUUUUAAAAUUUGAAAAUUUUCUUUAGAUAUAAUAACAUAAGUUAAGUCUCACUAUAGUUUAUCUGAUUCACCAAAAAGGAUGAACUUUUGUUGUCGAAUUAAUUAACCAAAGCUCAACUAGUCAUAAGUUAUUCUUAUUUUAGCUCAUUUGUUUCAGAAAAGAUAUAUAACUAUUGUCGACCAGUGAACUAACCACAAUUCAAUUGUUCAUUUGUGAAGUUUCAUUGCAAUUUAUUCGAUUCAAAAGAGAGACUGAACCCUUUUCGAUCAGUGAAGUUUAAAUACCUAAUUGACGUGGUUUGACUACCAUAAAAAAUUGUAAUCCUUUUUUAUUUUAUUUUUAUAAAAAUACAUUUUACAAUCUUAAUAAAAAAAAUAUUUAUUUUAUAUUCAAUCCAUAAAAAAAGCAUUCACUUUUAUAUAACCCAAAGUUUAAGUAUUUUGAAAAAAUAAUUUGUCAAAUUAAUAAUUAUUUUGAAUGAAUUUUCAAAAUAUUCAUUUUUUCUAAUGUUUAAUAUUAUCCAAGCAAAGCAAGGCACACAUUUUUUGUAUAAAAUCGAAAGUACACUGUAUUAUGUAAAAAUUAGAAUGUUUCAUAUAUAUAUAUAUAUAUAUAUAUAUACUUUGUAAACAAAAAAUAAAGAAUGUUUAAUUAAUACUUCUUUAAAAUGAAUACUAAAAAAUGAUUUCCCAAGUUAUACGUUUUCCCAAGGUUUAAUUAUAUACGUGGUUGGUUUCAAGUUAAGACAAAAUAUAUUGUGCAUUAUUCCCAGCUUCAUCACCUUUGUUAUUUGUCUGUUCCCUCCAAUGCCUGAAAGACUUGUUUAGCCCCCAAAUGACCAGCUUCUCAACACCAAGUCAAGUCUACAGUCUGCAGCAUGAAGCCAUAUUCACGAUAAGUCUGAUUGUUACAUAUUCUGAAUUUCCACCAACUCCACAAUUGAAGUGAAUGAGACUGUUUUGUCAUUGAGUUCAACCCCAGCAAAGGUUUCAAGAAAUUUCACGAACUAUUCAUUCGUCAUAUGUGCUUAUAAUUUGGGAUGGAAAAACUGUGAAAUUCUCUUGAUCUUGCAACAGAAUAAGGGUCUUUGGACUUCUAACGAGUUCUGCCUUGUUUAACAUUCCAAAUUCUCUUGACUUUUACUAAGUUUUCUAGUGCAACAAGGCCGAGAGACACUCAUAACUAAAUUUUCCUACACUCCAAAAUUAUAAGCACCUAUUUUAAUUAAGAUCAAAACAAUUGUCCGGAAGUAUAAGCGCCUUUUAAAUUGAUAAAUGUAUUCGAUUAUUAUUCUUGAAUAAGUGAUAUAUCUAGUUUAUAUCUAUAAUAUAGAUAAAGGACGUUGCUUAUUCAAUGAAUAAAAAAAAUGAAUUUUUUUAUUAUUAUAAUAAUGAUGAGAUGCAGUACAUCUAUGACAAUUGCUAAUAAAUGUUCUGAACCGGUCAACGACCUCAGCCCAAUUACUUAGGCUCAAUAACAAAUCAAGUUGCUGUAUUUGACAAUUUACUCGCAACAAAUCAAGAAAGAAGGAAGAGGUUUUUUGAAAAUUAAAUUUUAUGUAAGAAUAAUUUUGUCAUUUUAGAGUGUAACCAGGAUUAUAGUGUAAUUAGAAAAACUCAAGUAAUUAUUAUCCAAGGUACACAUUUUUUUUUAUGAAAUAGAAAGUACACUAUAUUAUGUAAAAUUAGACCUUUGAUAUAUAAUACUCUCUCCGGUCCUAUUUAUAAGAAAAAGUUAACUUUUUAGAUUCAUUGAGUAAUUAAUGUAUUUGGUAUAGAAUAUAGGCUAAAUACAUAAUUUAUACUUUGAAUCAAAAAAGUCAAAUAUUUCUUAUAAAUAAGAUCGAAGGAAAUACAUGUUUAAAAUGAAUGAUUCAAAAUCACAGUAUCGUGUAUUAUCCCCCAAUUAGACCUCUAUGCAUUCCCCAACUCGUACGUUUUCCUGAUCUUUAUUUUGUGGUUCCUUUCAAGUUAAGACAAAACAUAGUAUUGUGUAUUAUCCCCCACUUAUUUAUGUGGCCUCCAACGCCGCAAAGACUUUGGUUUAGCCCCUCAUUGACUGGCUUAUCAACACCAAGUCAUUAUAUCACAUCACAAUAUACUUCAUCAGUAAUAUAUUUUUAGGUCAUAAGUAAUGUAUUUUUUUUAAGGAAUUAGUGUAUAUGUUUUAUAAUAUAGAAUAAAUACAUUAUUUAUUAAAUAAAUUUAAUUUAAUUUUAAUAAUAAAUAUAAAAGGAAGCUAAAUGCGGAGUGAUGAAACAUUACUUAUUCAAUGAAAAUCACAACUCAAUAUAUUAAAGGUAGGGAUGUAAAUAGAUAUCCAUGAUGCGGAUAGUGUGAUAUUUGUGUGCGCUCUGUCAGAUAAAUAUGAAAUCCGUAUUCUAUCCAUAUUCAUGCGGAUAUCCGUUUAGCGGGUAAUCCACGGAUUUUGAGGUAUCCGCGGAUUUUUACAGAUAUCCAUGGAUAACAUUUAUAAAAAUAAAAUAAAAAAUUUGUUUAAUUUUUUUUUAGCUAAAAUUUAGAAACAAAGGUUCUUCACAUGCAUUUUCUUUUCUUUUUAGCAAAACAUAAUAUUCAUACAUUACAAUAACAACAAAGAUCAUUGACUCAACAAAAACAUAAAUAAUGUCCCUUACAUUUAAUAAAAAUAAAGUUAUUUGAUUUAACAAAAAUAUAAGUAAAACUCAUCAUAUUCAACAAAAACAAAGCUUUUGCUUCAACAAUCCCAACCACUUUCACUUUCUUUUAAAGGAGCGUAAUAAUUGAUAACACUCACAAUACCUAUCGUGUUUUCUUAGAAAGUUGAAUGAUAUUGAGGUUAUUUAUGUAAUUUAUUUGGUUUAAUAGCGGGUAUGGAUAUCUGCGGGUGUGGAUACCAUUAAAUCCGCAUUCGUAUCCAUUAAUUAGCGGGUAGUUAAAAAAUUCAUUUAUUUUAUCCAUGGAUAUCCAUUAAGGUAUCCGCUCUGUGUCCGUGGCAGAUUUUAUCCGCGGAUAUUACGGGUGCGGAUUUUUUUGCCAUCCAGGUGUAUGUUGUCAUUUAAUAUCUAAACUAUACUUACAGGACAAACGACACUUGGUAAUUGUGAGGAAAAAAUAACGCAUGCAGUAUAUAAUAUAAAUAUCCUCCUUGGUGCUUAGACACUCAUGCAUGCAUCCUAUUGAAAAUGGCCAAGUUAUACUCUUUUCACUCUUUGCUCUUUAUUCUCUCUGCCUCACUCUAUUAUUACCUCUUCACUUGCUUAGCUAUGAUUUCUAAAACCAUCACCACAGAUGAAUUUGCACUUCUUGCAUUCAAAUCCUCAAUUACCUUAGACCCUUAUGAUAUUCUUAGUAAUUGGUCAAUUUCCUCUUCUACUUCUUCUUUCUCUUCAUGCAAUUGGGUUGGUGUUACUUGUGAUGAACAUCAUGGAAGAGUGAAUGCAUUGGAUCUUAAUAACAUGGACCUUGAAGGUACAAUUUCUCCUCAAUUGGGAAAUCUUUCUUUCCUUGUUGUUCUUGAUUUACAAGGCAAUAGUUUCUAUGGUGAGUUACCACAUGAGUUACUUCAGUUGAAGAGAUUGAAAUGGUUGGAUUUGAGUGACAAUGAUU